rnacentral:lncRNA from 1 species
UUGUGUUCCCACCUCCCCCCCCAAACUCCCAUAUAUAUGGUCUUUUUGCUCUGCCCACAGGGACUGCUGGACUGGUGAGUGCAUUUGUCUUCAAGAGUGGGCGGCCAGCAUUCUGGAUGAAGUGGAAGUAUAAGAGUUUUAGCAACUGAAACAAAUGGGCAAGUAUUGCAUUUGUUGUUAGUCUAACUGAUGAUCCUUCUCCAUGUACACAUAUGUCUAAGC